UACGUAGGGUGCAAGCGUUAAUCGGAAUUACUGGGCGUAAAGCGUGCGCAGGCGGUUAUGUAAGACAGGUGUGAAAUCCCCGGGCUUAACCUGGGAACUGCAUUUGUGACUGCAUAGCUAGAGUACGGUAGAGGGGGAUGGAAUUCCGCGUGUAGCAGUGAAAUGCGUAGAUAUGCGGAGGAACACCGAUGGCGAAGGCAAUCCCUUGGACCUGUACUGACGCUCAUGCACGAAAGCGUGGGGAGCAAACAGG
rnacentral:rRNA from 1 species